rnacentral:rRNA from 1 species
ACCACCAAUGGGGGGCUUGCUCCUGAUGUUAGCGGCGGACGGGUGAGUAACACGUGGGUAACCUGCCUGUAAGACUGGGAUAACUCCGGGAAACCGGGGCUAAUACCGGAUGGUUGUUUGAACCGCAUGGUUCAAACAUAAAAGGUGGCUUCGGCUACCACUUACAGAUGGACCCGCGGCGCAUUAGCUAGUUGGUGAGGUAACGGCUCACCAAGGCAACGAUGCGUAGCCGACCUGAGAGGGUGAUCGGCCACACUGGGACUGAGACACGGCCCAGACUCCUACGGGAGGCAGCAGUAGGGAAUCUUCCGCAAUGGACGAAAGUCUGACGGAGUAACGCCGCGUGAGUGAUGAAGGUUUUU